AACGAACGCUGGCGGCAUGCCUAACACAUGCAAGUCGAACGAGACCUUCGGGUCUAGUGGCGCACGGGUGCGUAACGCGUGGGAACCUGCCCUUAGGUUCGGAAUAACUCCCCGAAAGGGGUGCUAAUACCGGAUAAUGUCUUCGGACCAAAGAUUUAUCGCCUUUGGCUGGGCCCGCGUUGGAUUAGCUAGUUGGUAGGGUAAAAGCCUACCAAGGCGACGAUCCAUAGCUGGUCUGAGAGGAUGAUCAGCCACACUGGGACUGAGACACGGCCCAGACUCCUACGGGAGGCAGCAGUGGGGAAUAUUGGACGAUGGGCGAAAGCCUGAUCCAGCAAUGCCGCGUGAGUGAUGAAGGCCUUAGGGUUGUAAAGCUCUUUUACCCGAGAUGAUAAUGACAGUACCGGGAGAAUAAGCGCCGGCUAACUCCGUG
rnacentral:rRNA from 1 species